rnacentral:rRNA from 1 species
CCUACGGGCGGCUGCAGUGGGGAAUAUUGGGCAAUGGGCGCAAGCCUGACCCAGCGACGCCGCGUGAGGGAAGACGGUCUUCGGAUUGUAAACCUCUUUCAGCAGGGAAGACAAAAGGACGGUACCUGCAGAAGAAGCCACGGCUGACUACGGGCCAUCAGCCACGGUAAUACGUAGGUGGCAAGCGUUAUCCGGAAUUCCUGGGUGUAAAGGGUGUGUAGGCGGGGCUGCAAGUCAGAUGUGAAAAUUAUGGGCUCAAACCAUAACCUGCGUUUGAAACUGUAGCUCUUGAGAGUGGGAGAGGUAAACGGAAUUCGCGGUGUAGCGGUGAAAUGCGUAGAUAGCGGGAGGAACACCAGUGGCGAAGGCGGUUUACUGGACCAAAACUGACGCUGAGACACGAAAGCGUGGGGAGCAAACAGGAUUAGAUACCCGGGUAGUC